ACGGGUGAGUAACGCGUGGGAAUCUACCUUGAGCUACGGGAUAACAGAGAGAAAUUUCUGCUAAUACCGUAUGUGGCCUUUGGGCGAAAGAUUUAUCGGCUUAAGAUGAGCCCGCGUUGGAUUAGCUGGUUGGUGGGGUAAAGGCCUACCAAGGCGACGAUCCAUAGCUGGUCUGAGAGGAUGAUCAGCCACACUGGGACUGAGACACGGCCCAGACUCCUACGGGAGGCAGCAGUGGGGAAUAUUGGACAAUGGGCGCAAGCCUGAUCCAGCCAUGCCGCGUGAGUGAAGAAGGCCUUAGGGUUGUAAAGCUCUUUCACCGGUGAAGAUAAUGACGGUAGCCGGAGAAGAAGCCCCGGCUAACUUCGUGCCAGCAGCCGCGGUAAUACGAAGGGGGCUAGCGUUGUUCGGAUUUACUGGGCGUAAAGCGCGCGUAGGCGGAUAGAUAAGUCAGAGGUGAAAUCCCGGGGCUCAACCCCGGAAUUGCCUUUGAUACUGUUUAUCUUGAGUGCAGAAGAGGUAAGUGGAAUUCCGAGUGUAGAGGUGAAAUUCGUAGAUAUUCGGAGGAACACCAGUGGCGAAGGCGGCUUACUGGUCUGCAACUGACGCUGAGACGCGAAAGCGUGGGGAGCAAACAGGAUUANNUACCCUGGUAGUCCACGCUGUAAACGAUGGAAGCCAGCCGUCGGCAAAUUUAUUUGUCGGUGGCGCANNUAACGCAUUAAGCUUCCCGCCUGGGGAGUACGGUCGCAAGAUUAAAACUCNAAGGAAUUGACGGGGGCCCGCACAAG
rnacentral:rRNA from 2 species